GACAAGGUGGCCGAGUGGUUAAGGCGAUGGACUGCUAAUCCUUCUGAGGAGACUUAAGAGCUUUGGGAUGAACACAGCAACCAACUCUUGCCAGUGCACAAUAGAAGAAGUGUCCUGAAUGCCAAACUGAACUGCUAAUCCGUUGUGCUCUGCACGUGUGGGUUCGAAUCCCAUCCUUGUCG